GCAGCCGGGGUGUUAGCGGUACCUUGUACCUGCAAUCCGCUACAGCAGGGGUGAUAUUACGCAGAGGGCUUUGAUUUGUGGAGCUGCCUUUGGUAAGCGACGUUGAUAACUGGGUCUCACGCGACGGAAAUCUGUGAACCGUGUCAGGUCGGGAACGAAGCAGCACUAAGCAGAACCUUUCGGGUGCCGUGAGGGUGCCUGGUUUGAGUUGGCUGCCAAAGUAACGUCUGG
rnacentral:SRP_RNA from 1 species